CACGUAGGGCGCGAGCGUUGUCCGGAAUUAUUGGGCGUAAAGAGCUCGUAGGCGGCCUGUUGCGUCCGCUGUGAAAGCCCGGGGCUUAACCCCGGGUCGGCAGUGGAUACGGGCAGGCUAGAGGUAGGUAGGGGAGAAUGGAAUUCCCGGUGUAGCGGUGAAAUGCGCAGAGACCCGGAGGAGCACCAGUGGCGAAGGCGGCUUCCUGGUCUGCGACUGACGCUGUGGCGCGAAAGCUAGGGGAGCAAACGGG
rnacentral:rRNA from 1 species